CCUUGGGGGCGGCACUUACCUGACAGUACAGCUAUGACUAUCCUCCUCCCUUCCCCGUCCUGACGUCCCGACGGUUGACAAUCGGGGGGGAUCGCACGGGUAUAGGUUUAUGAAUUCUCCGACUCCCUAACCAAGCUCACGGAUCAAUUUGAAGCGCAGGGAGGGAGAUAUAAGGCUAGGGCAGGCAAUAAGACGGACGUGCACUUGAAGGGGAUGAGGCUAUGUGGUUAUAGAUCUUGGUAGGGAUGGGUGAGAGGCCCACACCAAGGAAGGUAUUUGGCCCGCGGGCAGGAGGUCGGUUGCGCCUUCAUGGGG